rnacentral:rRNA from 1 species
GAUGAACGCUGGCGGCGUGCCUAAUACAUGCAAGUCGAGCGAACGGACGAGAAGCUUGCUUCUCUGAUGUUAGCGGCGGACGGGUGAGUAACACGUGGAUAACCUACCUAUAAGACUGGGGUAACUUCGGGAAACCGGAGCUAAUACCGGAUAAUAUUUUGAACCGCAUGGUUCAAAAGUGAAAGACGGUCUUGCUGUCACUUAUAGAUGGAUCCGCGCUGCAUUAGCUAGUUGGUAAGGUAACGGCUUACCAAGGCAACGAUGCAUAGCCGACCUGAGAGGGUGAUCGGCCACACUGGAACUGAGACACGGUCCAGACUCCUACGGGAGGCAGCAGUAGGGAAUCUUCCGCAAUGGGCGAAAGCCUGACGGAGCAACGCCGCGUGAGUGAUGAAGGUCUUCGGAUCGUAAAACUCUGUUAUUAGGGAAGAACAUAUGUAUAAGUAACUGUGCACAUCUUGACGGUACCUAAUCAGAAAGCCACGGCUAACUUCGUG